rnacentral:rRNA from 1 species
UGCAGUCGCACGAGAACGUUCUGGCUUUGCCAGGACAAGUACAGUGGCGGACGGGUGCGUAUCGCGUAGAUAACCUGCCCUUAGGCGCGGGACAAUCACGGGAAACCGUGGCUAAUACCGCACGUCGUCUGGGCCCCGCAUGGGGACCAGAUGAAAGCUUGGGGUUACCCAGGCGCCUUGGGAUGGGUCUGCGUUGGAUUAGCUUGUUGGUGAGGCAACGGCUCACCAAGGCGACGAUCCAUAGCUGGUCUGAGAGGACGAUCAGCCACACUGGGACUGAGACACGGCCCAGACUCCUACGGGAGGCAGCAGUGGGGAAUCUUGCACAAUGGGGUCACCCCUGAUGCAGCCAUGCCGCGUGGAGGAAGACACCCCUAUGGGGCGUAAACUCCUUUUCUGAAUGAAGAAACCCCUGUAGGUUCAGGGCGCGACGGUAGUUCAGGAAUAAGCACCGGCUAACUCCGUGCCAGCAGCCGCGGUAAUACGGAGGGUGCAAGCGUUGUCCGGAAUCACUGGGUGUAAAGGGUGUGCAGGCGGGGCAACAAGUCGGAUGUGAAACCCCAUGGCUCAACCAUGGAGGUGCAUUCGAAACUGUUGCUCUUGAGUCCCGGAGAGGCUGUCGGAAUUCGUGGUGUAGCGGUGAAAUGCGUAGAUAUCACGAGGAACACCAGAGGCGAAAGCGGGCAGCUGGACGGGUACUGACGCUCAGGCACGAAAGCGUGGGGAGCAAACAGGAUUAGAUACCC